rnacentral:rRNA from 1 species
UACGGAGGGUGCGAGCGUUACCCGGAUUUACUGGGUGUAAAGGGCGUGUAGGCGGUCUCUCAAGUCCGAUGCUAAAGACCGAGGCUCAACCUCGGGAGUGCGUUGGAUACUGUGAGGCUAGACGGUCGGAGAGGGCAGCGGAAUUCUCGGAGUAGCGGUGAGAUGCGCAGAGACCGAGAGGAACGCCAAUAGCGAAGGCAGCUGCCUGGACGAUUGGUGACGCUGAGGCGCGAAAGAGUGGGGAGCAAACCGG